GGAGAGGUGGCAGAGUGGUCGAUUGCGGCGGUCUUGAAAACCGUUGACCCGUGAGGGUCCGUGGGUUCGAAUCCCACCUUCUCCGCCA
rnacentral:tRNA from 1 species